UACGUAGGUGGCAAGCGUUAUCCGGAUUUACUGGGUGUAAAGGGCGAGUAGGCGGGAUUGCAAGUCAGAUGUGAAAACUAUGGGCUCAACCGAUAGAGUGCAUUUGAAACUGUUAUUCUAGAGUAUGGGAGAGGUAGGUGGAAUUCUUGGUGUAGGGGUAAAAUCCGUAGAGAUCAAGAGGAAUACUCAUUGCGAAGGCGACCUGCUAGAACAUAACUGACGCUGAUGCGCGAAAGCGUGGGGAGCAAACAGG
rnacentral:rRNA from 1 species